rnacentral:lncRNA from 1 species
GACCCAUGUUCUUUUAGUGAAUUAUUAGCUUGUGUUUAAUUCAUGCAUUGUUUUGUGCAUACUUUGAUGUUUAUUCUUUUAUUCUGUUAUGAUAUGUCUUUAUUUUGUUGUUGAAAUUUUAUUGUGAAUUCCAUAUAGGUGCUAAACUGGUUGAGUAGCCUAGGACACCUCAUUGGGAAGGCUUAAAGUGUUUUAUAGUCAAGCAAGCAAGGUAUGUUUACUCUUUAGUUUUCCCAUCUAUUGUUUUGUUUGUUCCAUGUGUGUAUGUUGUGCUUGUCCUAUUUGUGGUCUGAUCCAAGAUUGUUUUCCAUAUCGUUUUCCAUAUUGUUUUCCAUAUCAUUUUAUCCUUAAUGCUCCCCAUUAUCUUCUCUUUUUCUUCCUUUUCCAAACAGUCCAACUAGACACUUCUAAGUUUCUAUGCUUUUGAACUUAACUCCCUUACAAUGCUCACUCUUAAAAGGCUCUAUCUCCAUGCCCCCUUUUUCUACCAUUCC